rnacentral:rRNA from 1 species
UGGGGAAUAUUGCACAAUGGGCGCAAGCCUGAUGCAGCGACGCCGCGUGGGGGAUGACGGCCUUCGGGUUGUAAACCUCUUUCAGCAUCGACGAAGCGCAAGUGACGGUAGAUGCAGAAGAAGCACCGGCCAACUACGUGCCAGCAGCCGCGGUAAUACGUAGGGCGCGAGCGUUGUCCGGAAUUACUGGGCGUAAAGAGCUCGUAGGUGGUUUGUCGCGUUGUUCGUGAAAACUCACAGCUCAACUGU